GAGAGAGAGAGAGAGAGAGGGCAACGUGAGAAGAAGGAAAUAUUAUGGUUCGAUCUACUACAGAAGGCUUAGCGUUCACCACCAAGAUACAUCCUUUUCUCAAUGAAGGGGACUCCGUAAAUCACAAGAAGGCAAAUUACGACAUCGGUUAAUCGGCGGGUACUGUUUCGUUGUGGAUUUUGGAGAAGAAAGGUGAUGUGAAUCAUUGACUCCUGAGCGUCUUUGAUGAGCUUGCUUUUCAGGUCAUAUUAGUCCGGGUAUAACACUUCUUGGCUGUAAUGACUGAUUCUCGUGAAGCGAUCAGUAAGCUCAAAACCUUAUAUAAACAGUAGAGAGGUUUGCGCACAACACGUCACAAAACAUUGCGCAUUAGGUUAACUAAGAAUUCGAUUACCGCAAUGCGACCUAUAAGUGUUGGAAAUUAAGAAGUAGAUUUUUAAGAGUUAUGAUAAGGAAUGACCUUAAAUGGGACAUUUUUCACUUUUAGGUUCUCGUGAUUCCAAUUAUUUUUAUAAUACUUCUUAUUCUAAAUAGAUUUAAUUAUUAGUAUCUGAUUUUGUAAAUUGCACUGUUUAUUCAGUUUUUAACCGCCAGAAGUGUUACGUUAAUACCGAACUUAACUGGUGAACAUAGGAGCUCAGAAGGAAAUACCUUUGUUCGUUGCAGCUUUACAAGAUAAUUUAUGGCUAUUUUGAUGUGGACUUUACCAGAUAUGUGGAUUUGACUGGUCGGACAAGAACUAGAAGUAACCAUGACUUUAAAUUAAGGCCUAGAGCAGCUAGGACUGACUAUUUUAAGUUUUCAUUUUUUAACCGUUUCGUUAAUGAUUGGAACUCUUUGCCUAAUUUUGCUAUGGCAGCUUCCAGUUUGAAUUCCUUCAGAGCUCGAUUACUGAAUU